AAUAGAGUGAAAACCAUAAAUAUAGUCGAGUUGACCUAAAGAUUAAACAUUGCUGUGAAGGCUGUAGGCCUAAUAAAUGUGUGGAAUCAAGUGUCACUGCACCUGCCCAUGAGCUCAACUGAAGCACUGGACACGUCACUGAACAGACACAGGCUCCACCACCACUCACCUUCAAUCAUCACCUGAGACAAGAAAAGACUGAAAGAUCCGAAAGAAGAGAAUGAAUGGACAACAGUGUGUGAUCCUGUCAUUGUCCGUGAACCCCAGUCUCCACACCAUGAGAAACAGGAGUUUGCACCGAUCCGCCCACCAAACCCCAGGAUUUUCAUUUGGAUCCAUUCUAUAGCCCCGCCCUCUCACCCUAAGCCAUGCGUCCAGUCCAUGCAUGACAGUUCCCAACAUCCCCUGCCAAAAGUGUUUCCUAGAUGCAUCAUGAUUCAUGACACUAUCGGCUUCCUGACCUCUGAGUUCUGUGUCUUGCACUUUUUUACAUUUAUAAUCCGAGCCUGUCAACGGUUUCUUACCGGCUUGCGAGACGCUGCCCCCACAAUGUGCUGUCUUGCGCCUGUACGGCCUCAUGAGGUUUGUUUGUGUGUCUAUGUGAUUCCACUCCAUGAACACGUUCGUAUAGAUGCACUCCAUAAAAUAAAGAGUAGCACAGGGUCUUGUCAUUCCUCCACAGCUUAAUCAGGAGCUACACAGAGGAGAGGAGCACAGCAGCCCGUACCUUCCUGAUCAUUCUAAUGAGGACCCCUGGCAAUGCAGUCAGUGAAGUAUAAUUGACUUGUUCGUCUCUUAUUUUCAUAAUAGACACUCCCUGACCCAGAGCACAUUUAGUUUGCUAUGAGAGAUGUCAGAAAGCAUUGGAAGUUUCCUCUGCAUGCCCAUUAAAUCUGAAGGCAUGCCACCCUGUCCUCAGCCAGCAAGCACUGUCAUUGGCUGCCCAGCUCAUUAUGCAGAUAGGAAAAGCAAGUAAAUGAUUCCCAGAUUGGGCGAAAAACCUUCUGUGCCUGUACACACCCUGCACCCCCUCCACACCGGAGCCUUUCAAUGCAUCCAACCAGACAAAAAAAAUGCAAUUCUGUUGCUCUGAAAAAAUAAGUUACAUAUAAAUGAUAAAAGUGCAGCAGUGCCCCUUGACGUGAAAACCUGGUGAAGCGUGUGGAUGUCAUUGUUGUUGCAACAAGGCCUGCCAUCUACCUUUCAGGACCGAUUGAAAUCAAAUUACAUAUUUUUUGCAAAGGUAAGGGUUAGCCAGCGAGGGUGAGCCCUGGAUCUCUGUCCCUGCUAGCUGAUAUGAAACAGAACAGCUGUGGAUAUCAAUGCCCCCGCGCA